UAUGCCGUGUUCUGCGCGUUCACAUUGUCCAAUUUGUGCUCGCCGUCGCCAACUGUAACCGUGUGAUGCUCACCUACACGAUACUUAUCAACGGGGUCAGAGCUCUGAGCACGUUACGCUGUCUCUCGAUGAACUGAUUUCGCGAUGAAAACCGCCUGUGCGUCAUUAUGUUAUUACGCCGUCCGAAACGGCUACUAUCCAAAUGAUUACAUCCUGAGCUACACUGCGAAAAACUUUACCUCACUCUGCGUAGGUAAUAAUACAUUUUAUUGAAACUGUAAACUGUAAA